AACGAACGCUGGCGGCAGGCCUAACACAUGCAAGUCGAGCGCCCUUUCGGGGGAGCGGCGGCCGGGUGAGUAACGCGUGGGAAUAUGCCCUUCUCUACGGAAUAGCCUCGGGAAACUGAGAGUAAUACCGUAUACGCCCUAUGGGGGAAGGAUUUAUCGGGGAAGGAUUAGCCCGCGUUGGAUUAGGUAGUUGGUGGGGUAAUGGCCUACCAAGCCGACGAUCCAUAGCUGGUUUGAGAGGAUGAUCAGCCACACUGGGACUGAGACACGGCCCAGACUCCUACGGGAGGCAGCAGUGGGGAAUCUUAGACAAUGGGGGCAACCCUGAUCUAGCCAUGCCGCGUGAGUGAUGAAGGCCUUAGGGUUGUAAAGCUCUUUCAGCUGGGAAGAUAAUGACGGUACCAGCAGAAGAAGCCCCGGCUAACUCCGUG
rnacentral:rRNA from 1 species